AUGAGUAUGUGUGUGUGCGCCAUCAAUUUAACGGCUCUAUUUAUUUCAAUGGAAAUCUUUUGCACGGCUGGGCCACCGCCGCGACCGGGUUUCCAGAGCAACCAGAGGCGGCAUUGGUUUUUGAGCAAGGGUACAGGUCAACAUGGUCUAUUAAAGAAACCUACCUACCUACAGUAGAGAAGGCAUUACAUUACUUUCGAAAUAUUAACGUUGUGUCUGAUGAUGAGUGGCCGCUGGAUGGCUUUGCAGACAUGGGGGUCCGAGUGAGCAGUCCCCACACCAACCCACAGGCGAAGGCUCCUCCGGCCCGUUGGUUGCUCUCCAGUGCAAUGGAGUGAGGACCUCCGGUGCACCCACUCAUCGCAAAUGAUCGCAAGGAAUCAGCAUUGUCGUCCUGCGCAUCUGGCGUCACAAAUUGUUGAUCGUGUGUUGUAAAUCCUAGGGCUGCCACUGCUGCGAUCCCGCCAUCAACAUGACAAAUGCCCGCUGGGAUCGGUCACGUGACAUCUGGAGCUCUGUCACGGGAACCCCCUCUAGAUCGGGAUUGUCCGAAAAUUGCCAGUGUGUAUUGUACAGGUGUGUGAUUGGUCCACGGAUGCCGCAAAUAUACACUAUGAUUGACUGACAAAUGAACAAAUGACAGAAUAAUGUGGAAUUCAAUGCUUUCCGAUAUGCCCCCUAGAGCAAGCUUUGUGUACUGCAGCGGCAAGUAAAUGACCGAAAUUUCAACAAGUGGCAGAAUAUUAAAAAGCUGUUAUGAUUUCUGCUCGUUCCUCUGUACGGCCACGGCACUGCGAAGAGUUACUUGCAGCUUGGUGAACUCAUGGCAAGACUAUAAAGUGAUUGACCAAAAAAAAAAAAAAAAUCUACAUUUGUUGUACCUCAAGUUUAAUAAUCGGUUCCCACCGUUUACUAAUCUGUUCCCACCGUUUACGAGUCUGUACCCACAGUUUAGCAGAUCACCAGUGUUCCAUCGUAUACCUGUUAUUCAGGUACUUUUAGAAUUGUCAUGGCGUGAUUUAUUUUCACUUUCAUCCACUAUAUGAAAGUGCCACAUAUGAAAGUAAUAUUGCUCUCGUUCGAUGGUUUUGCUUGAUAUCGCAGUUUUAGCAGCAAACGACUACAAUUAGCCAGUGUGUUUCUUUUAAUCUUUCAUGCAUCCAGUUUUAAAACAUUCGCUCAAAGCAAGCAAUGACCCAGUUCUUGCUGGAGAAGUGGACAAUCACUCAGUCACAUUACAAGAGCAGACAAAUACAUCAUUGUACCUUGUACCUCUCUGCAGUGAGAAACAAUGGCCCUCUGAGUCGGAUGCCUCUUGGAAUCCUCCCUUGUGACAUGUUCUGGGCAUGUCACACCUUGAGAAGGCCCUCAGGAUGACCCAGGACACAAUCGAGACCAUGUCUUCAGGUUGGCCGAGGAACGAUUGGAUCCAGCCAGAAGAGAUGGAUCAAGUAGCUGGGGAUAGGGAAGUCUGGGCUUCCCUGCUAAAACUGCUGCACCUGACCCUGGAUAAGCUGAAGCAAAUGCAUAGAUUGAUGGAUGGAACUUUAUUCAAUAAUAAAACUAAAUCAGCAGUGAACCUCAAGACUAAACUUUCACCAACUUGGAUAAAAGUUUAUAUUGUUAUUAUGUAUUUUGUUGUCUGCUAUUGGGUGAUGGCUUCUUCAUCCUGGCGCUUCACUCCACAGAUCCCUCUGGUGUAAGAACAUAAUGAGGCUCUUUGCAGUGGCAUUAACAGUGAGGACAGCUUGAGUGACCAAGUGUAAAAGAUAUUAUUUGUAAAAGAAUCAAAAAAAGCAACUCUGCAGACGUGUGUUAGUUUUUUAAUGGAAAGCGCAUGUAGGGAAAAAUAUGUAUCCAGACAUGUAAUUUGCAUCUUCAUGAAACAUGAUGCAAAUCAUGAAAUAUCAUCAGGCACAGGGGGUGUCUGUCGCUAUGCAGUUGACCCUUUUGCACGAAUUAUUCACAGGUGCCACAGGAAAUGGGUAAGUGAGA